AGCAGUGUGGCUUAAUGGAAAGAGCACGGGCCUGGGAGUCAGAGGACCUGGUUUCUAACCCCAGCUCUGUUA
rnacentral:tRNA from 1 species